rnacentral:rRNA from 1 species
GAGUUUGAUCGUGGCUCAGAUUGAACGCUGGCGGCAUGCCUUACACAUGCAAGUCGAGCGGCAGCGCGGGGGCAACCCUGGCGGCGAGCGGCGAACGGGUGAGUAAUACAUCGGAACGUGUCCUGUCGUGGGGGAUAACCAGUCGAAAGAUUGGCUAAUACCGCAUGACCUCGUAAGAGAAAAGCGGGGGACCGUAAGGCCUCGCGCGACUGGAGCGGCCGAUGUCGGAUUAGCUAGUUGGCGGGGUAAAAGCCCACCAAGGCGACGAUCCGUAGCUGGUUUGAGAGAACGACCAGCCACACUGGGACUGAGACACGGCCCAGACUCCUACGGGAGGCAGCAGUGGGGAAUUUUGGACAAUGGGGGCAACCCUGAUCCAGCCAUG